GAUGAACGCUGGCGGCGUGCCUAAUACAUGCAAGUCGAGCGAACAGACGAGGAGCUUGCUCCUCUUACGUUAGCGGCGGACGGGUGAGUAACACGUGGAUAACCUACCUAUAAGACUGGGAUAACUUCGGGAAACCGGAGCUAAUACCGGAUAAUAUAUUGAACCGCAGGGUUCAAUAGUGAAAGACGGUUUUGCUGUCACUUAUAGAUGGAUCCGCGCCGCAUUAGCUAGUUGGUAAGGUAACGGCUUACCAAGGCAACGAUGCGUAGCCGACCUGAGAGGGUGAUCAGCCACACUGGAACUGAGACACGGUCCAGACUCCUACGGGAGGCAGCAGUAGGGAAUCUUCCGCAAUGGGCGGAAGCCUGACGGAGCAACGCCGCGUGAGUGAUGAAGGUCUUCGGAUCGUAAAACUCUGUUAUUAGGGAAGAACAAAUGUGUAAGUAACUAUGCACGUCUUGACGGUACCUAAUCAGAAAGCCCCGGCUAACUACGUG
rnacentral:rRNA from 1 species